rnacentral:rRNA from 1 species
CGGCGGACGGGUGAGUAAUGCCUAGGAAUCUGCCUGGUAGUGGGGGAUAACGUCCGGAAACGGACGCUAAUACCGCAUACGUCCUACGGGAGAAAGCAGGGGACCUUCGGGCCUUGCGCUAUCAGAUGAGCCUAGGUCGGAUUAGCUAGUUGGUGGGGUAAUGGCUCACCAAGGCGACGAUCCGUAACUGGUCUGAGAGGAUGAUCAGUCACACUGGAACUGAGACACGGUCCAGACUCCUACGGGAGGCAGCAGUGGGGAAUAUUGGACAAUGGGCGAAAGCCUGAUCCAGCCAUGCCGCGUGUGUGAAGAAGGUCUUCGGAUUGUAAAGCACUUUAAGUUGGGAGGAAGGGCAGUAAAUUAAUACUUUGCUGUUUUGACGUUACCGACAGAAUAAGCACCGGCUAACUCUGUGCCAGCAGCCGCGGUAAUACAGAGGGUGCAAGCGUUAAUCGGAAUUACUGGGCGUAAAGCGCGCGUAGGUGGUUCGUUAAGUUGGAUGUGAAAUCCCCGGGCUCAACCCUGGGAACUGCAUUCAAAACUGACGAGCUAGAGUA